rnacentral:miRNA from 1 species
AGCAGUGUUCUCCAACCCAGUCCUCAUGGACCCCCAACAGUCUAGGAUUUAUGUAUUUCCCUUUUUUUUUUCCAAUGGAGAUACUGACAAAACCUGGACUGUUGGUGGUCCAUGAGGACUGGGUUGGAAAACACUGGAC